CCUAGUCGCGCGUGUUCUCGCGGUGGACCCCUCACUACAGACGCAGGCUGCAGGGCAGGAUGUGUGCUAGGCCUAAGGCCGGUACCUCAUGUUGAGGAGGGUACCCAGGUAGCAGGGCCACCCUCAACCCUGUCAGAAAAGUUGUCUCCGUGUGGCCUGGCCUUAGGAAAUCUUUUCAGGUUUCCCUUAUUUACCUCGCGCCUUGACCAGAAAGAGCCGGCCAGGGAGUCUGGAAGGAAAAGGUAUAAGCCGCUGAGUUCCCCGAGUGAAGACAUGGCCCUGACUGCACUCAAUCUGGAUGCCCCGCUGCUGAGCAAAUGAGGCCCAAUAAUGCACCUGGCGACAAGAGAGCAUAACCCUGAAUGAAGAUGGCAUGAGAGCGAUGACGAGACCAGCAGGAAAAGGGCUGCCUGGAUCAAGCUCUCGAACCUGCUCUAUCACACGUUCAGGCCCGUGGAAGGAGGCAUCUGCCAGAGCCACCAGCUCUAGCCCUGUCAGGCUCC